rnacentral:ncRNA from 1 species
GAAAAACUACACUAUGUGUAGUCGGGUAUUUCUUUGUACGUCAUUAGUAGGAAUUUCCUGCUUUGCAAAGAAGAUAUCUCAGUUUAGG